AUUGAACGCUGGCGGCAGGCCUAACACAUGCAAGUCGAGCGGCAGCGGGAAAGUAGCUUGCUACUUUUGCCGGCGAGCGGCGGACGGGUGAGUAAUGCCUGGGAAAUUGCCCAGUCGAGGGGGAUAACAGUUGGAAACGACUGCUAAUACCGCAUACGCCCUACGGGGGAAAGCAGGGGACCUUCGGGCCUUGCGCGAUUGGAUAUGCCCAGGUGGGAUUAGCUAGUUGGUGAGGUAAUGGCUCACCAAGGCGACGAUCCCCAGCUGGUCUGAGAGGAUGAUCAGCCACACUGGAACUGAGACACGGUCCAGACUCCUACGGGAGGCAGCAGUGGGGAAUAUUGCACAAUGGGGGAAACCCUGAUGCAGCCAUGCCGCGUGUGUGAAGAAGGCCUUCGGGUUGUAAAGCACUUUCAGCGAGGAGGAAAGGUUGAUGCCUAAUACGUAUCAACUGUGACGUUACUCGCAGAAGAAGCACCGGCUAACUCCGUGCCAGCCGCCGCUGUAACAC
rnacentral:rRNA from 1 species